GCCUGGGUGGCUCAUUUGGUUGAGUGUCUGACUUUGGCUCAGGUCAUGAUCUCCCAGUCUGUGAGUUUGAGCCCCGCAUCAGGCU
rnacentral:tRNA from 1 species